rnacentral:rRNA from 1 species
AUUGAACGCUGGCGGCAUGCCCUACACAUGCAAGUCGAACGGUAACAGGUCUUCGGAUGCUGACGAGUGGCGAACGGGUGAGUAAUACAUCGGAACGUGCCUAGUAGUGGGGGAUAACUACUCGAAAGGGUGGCUAAUACCGCAUGAGAUCUACGGAUGAAAGCAGGGGAUCGCAAGACCUUGUGCUACUAGAGCGGCCGAUGGCAGAUUAGGUAGUUGGUGGGAUAAAAGCUUACCAAGCCGACGAUCUGUAGCUGGUCUGAGAGGACGAUCAGCCACACUGGGACUGAGACACGGCCCAGACUCCUACGGGAGGCAGCAGUGGGGAAUUUUGGACAAUGGGCGAAAGCCUGAUCCAGCAAUGCCGCGUGCAGGAUGAAGGCCUUCGGGUUGUAAACUGCUUUUGUACGGAACGAAAAGCCCCGGGUUAAUACCCUGGGGUCAUGACGGUACCGUAAGAAUAAGCACCGGCUAACUACGUGCCAGCAGCCGCAGUAA